rnacentral:rRNA from 1 species
UACGUAGGGUGCGAGCGUUGUCCGGAAUUAUUGGGCGUAAAGAGCUUGUAGGUGGUUUGUCGCGUCUGCUGUGAAAAUCCGAGGCUCAACCUCGGGUCUGCAGUCGAUACGGGCGGACUGGAGUUCGGCAGGGGAGACUGGAAUUCCUGGUGUAGCGGUGAAAUGCGCAGAUAUCAGGAGGAACACCGGUGGCGAAGGCGGGUCUCUGGGCCGAUACUGACGCUGAGGAGCGAAAGCGUGGGGAGCGAACAGG